GCUCCCGUAGCUCAGUUGGAUAGAGCAACUGCCUUCUAAGCAGUAGGUCGCAGGUUCGAGUCCUGCCGGGAGUG
rnacentral:tRNA from 2 species